CUACUGGCAUGCUUAUUAUGACAGAAGACUCCCACCAGGAAUAACAGCUUUACUAAAGUUAGAAGAAUUCGUGGCCAAGUUCAUGAGCAUGUGCAGAAAAAAC